GGUGGCAUAGUGGUGGAAGUGCUUGGCUGCAAACCAAAAGGUUGGUGGUUCAAACCCACCAGCUACCC
rnacentral:tRNA from 1 species